GAUGAACGCUGGCGGCGUGCCUAAUACAUGCAAGUCGAGCGAACAGACGAGCUUUCUGUUCCGCAUUCGUUAGCCGCGGACGGGUGACGAACACGUGGAUAACCUAUCUAUAAGCCUGGGAUAACUUCGGGAAACCGGAGCUAAUACCGGAUUAUCUAUUGGACCGCAUGGUUCAGUAGUUGAAGGCGGUUUUUCUGUUACUUAUAGGUGGUUCCGCCCCGCCUUAUCAGGUUGGUAGUGGAAUGGUUUACGAAGGCGACGAUGAGUAGCCGACCUGCGGGGGUGAUCGGCCACACUGGAACUGGGACACGGUCCCGCCUCCUACGGGAGCCAGCAGUAGGGAAUCUGCCGCAUUGGGCCAGAGCCUGACGGAGCAGCACCGAGUGAGUGGGGAAGGUCUUCGGAUCGUAGUACUCUGUUAUUAGGGAAGAACAAAUGUGUAAGUAGCUGUGCACGUCUUGACGGUACCGAAUCAGAAAGCCACGGCUAACUACGUG
rnacentral:rRNA from 1 species